rnacentral:lncRNA from 1 species
UUAUGAGGUAUCAUUGACUGAAUAGAAACAUCACCAAGGUCAAGCGUUUUUAGAUUGCUUAACUUCUCGACUAAAUUUACGAAACUAGGCUUCUGGAGUUCAAGUCUACCACCAGGAACAUCAUUUAGUGAUAAAUCACGGGACACCAAAUUGGAGAGCUUUAGAAUUUCUGAUGGUAUUUGGCCAGAUAAAGAAGUUCCAGAGAGGUUCAAGUAUGAUAACCUGGAAAGGUUGAUGAUUUCUGGUGGGAUUUCGGAGGAAUUGAAGUCAUUCAAAGCAAGAUUAAGCCACUCAAGAUGGACAAGCUUGAAAAGGCUGCUGCUAGAGUUGAAAGAACCAAAAAGGCAGCUAUGGGAGAGGUCAAGCUUGAUGACAUGACCAGUGUUCUUAUUGCAAUGAACUCCGUCCCAAGAGCAGCAAUCAACGUUACCUUCUUCUGGCUUCCAUGUUGCCAUUGUAGGAUGACAGUCAAAUUUCCAAGCAUAAAAUUCACCACUGAUGCGGCUUUCUUUGAAUUGCAACAAAGCAGAGCGCUCAUCAUUAUGGCAGAGUAGCGGCAUAGAAGAAGCAGUGAAGUUAGCAAUUGUAAAAUUAAAGAAAAAGAAGGGAAAAACUAACCGUAUGAAUAUUGUGAAUAAACAUAUGGAGGAUAAACCCAUAGUUUUCUCAAAAAUAAAAUUUGUUUAACUUUGUAGAUGUUAAGAAAUUUAAGGAUCUUGGUUUUUAUAGGCAAAUUGCAGCAAUUCAAACAUUUUAGUCAUUGGAUUCUUUUUUUAUUUUUUUAAGUCAACAAAAGUUAGUCUUAGCAAUAUUUAUUUUUUAUUAUUUGAUGUGAUGUCCCACAAAAAAAAAUUGAUUUAAUGUGUUAUUAACAAUCUAUCCAGAAAAAACAAUUCUUUAAUAGGAUCUAUCGAACUUGACCUGUGUUUAUAUUUCCUUUCAUUUUCUAUAAUUUCAUUUUCUGCAUUAAUUUGCUUCUUUUUCUUUUUUUCUCCUUUCCCCGCUUGUAUUUCCCUUCACGACCAGUUGAGUAUUCUGCAUACUCGAGUUUAUGUGAUUGGCUUGAUGACUUUUCACUACAACUCAAAAAUUUUCCUCCCCACGGCAUGUUGAUAUUAUCUCCAAACUAGCAAUAUUAUCACUGUCACUCUUCUUUGUAAACUACGCACUCGUUGGUUGAGUGAUGACACCUCCUCAACUUAAUUAUUCUCAAGGUCAAGAAUUCGAGUUUUACUCGUUUAUAUUUCUUAGCCGAUGCCAAUGCGCCAAUUUGUAAUGAACUUUAGCUGAUGGUUUCUGAGAUGGGCUCUAGUUAGUGCACCUAAAUGUAACAAAUAUCUCACGUUAACAACCCAAAAUUCCAUAAUAUCAUGCAAAAUCAUUCUAGAAGUUAAAAUUAGGUGUUAAUCCGAUACAAACACCAGAAAAAUUAAUGAAAUUUGGAUUUACUACAAUUGGCAUGAUUUUUUAAUUUAGAUCAAUUAAAAAUAUUUCAUUUUAUAGUGUCGGAUUCCCUAUAAGUCGUCAUAAAUCAUUAUCCAGACGAUCAAGGCCGGCGGAUAAAGACUCAAGACUAGAAUUAGAAGUCUUCGAGUAUCAAUCAUAUGUCGUGUCAGAAAAUUCUUUCUUAGUUCUAAGCCAACUAAAGUUGAAUUCGCCAUAUCAUUAUAAUGGAUGUUAAUAUUGCUAACUUGGAGUCAAAAGUCAUGCGUUGAUUGCAUUUGUAUUGUCUGUAUGACUAGGACGUGGCAAAGGCUCAUGGAAUAGACCUGCUUCUAUUUUCUCCUUUCCCCACUACCACCAGUUCACUUAACUUUUCCUUCACGGCAUGCUGAAUGAGAUCUUCUACUCCAUCAGUGCAUUUAGGAUUAGAUUUCUAAUUUGUCCGAUGUCUCUGCAUUUUCUUGAAAUCUCUACUCUUCCUCGUGUAAUUAAGGAGGAUUAAAGUAAAAGAAAAGGGUAGAACCAGUUAUCCCUAUUUGUUGCACUAGCUAUCAGAUUUCCAUAUUAUAGUAAUUAUUGGCCAAAAACAUAAUUUUUUAUUUAAAUUGUCAAAAAGACUUGAAUGUUCUCAUCCUAAAAUAAGUUCCAUUAAAACAAUCAUAAUAUUUAUGGCAUGGUCCUACUUAAACCAGUAAAAUCUCUUGAACUAAUUUAAAGGUUCAAUCCUGCUCACAUGAGUAAGGAGAGGAUAGGGUAUUUGUUUAAAUUUUAUUGUAUUGAAUUUUGCACUUUCAAUACUUCUACGUAGUUAUUACGAUUUCAUCAAGUUUACGAUGUUAAUGAUCAAACAGUACACUUUCUAAACUAACUAAAAUAGUACCUAGCUAGCUAAUUAGAUAACGGAUUAAUGGAAUCACUACUAAAAAAAUGACUUUCACUGACACUUUGCUUCUGACACUUUAAAAAAAGUGUCAGUAAUUACUUAACUAUGCACCAUUUUCCGCUUUUAACAAAUAGGUGUCACAAAUUAUUAAUAUUAGUGUGUCAGUAAAUUAAAUAUCAGAGAUCACUGAUACUAAUGUAUCAGAGAUUAAAAAAAAUAAUUAUAAUUUGUUUUGAUUUCAACUCGAACCUGGAACUUCUAAAACUCUAAAAGUUCUAGAUAUAGGCCACAAACCACUGAACCAUGUAGAUUUAAGUUAAAGACAUAAAGUUAUAUAAAAACUUAACAUAUAAAAAACAAAACCCUAAUUCCCCUUCUUUAUUAUGCAAGAGAGCCCGCGCCGCAGCCGCCUAAUUUCCCUUCCCUUGCUUGACUUCUUCUUCUCUACCGUGAAAGACGGAGAAUGACCAUGUUGUCGCUGCUACGAAACGCCCACGCCCUCCCCGCCACCGCUAUCACUUCCGUUCCAACGUACCGACGCUGCAGCUUCUAGCCGUUCUCCAUUUGCUUUGUUUGCUGCCUCUGAUUUCGUUCUCCUUCCAGCUUCGUUUGCUGUCGUCAACCGCACAAGGUAAAAGGCGUAAUUCAAUCUUCUUUUAGGCAUGGGUAAGUGGCAUUAUAGGCACUGAAACUGCUGAGAGAAAAGUUUCAUACUAGUACAGGCACUUUGCUCUCUUCAAUCUUUGUACUUUUCAUUUUUCCUUUGAAUUUCAUUUCUGGUUAUUCAAAAUUUUUGAGUUUCUUUUUUAUUUCCACCCUUUACACAAACUCAUCUCCAAAUUUUUGGCCUUCUCCUUUUGGCCAUUUUGCUUUCGGAUUUUACACCAGUGACAAUGGCUUCAAGGUUGGAAUAUGGCUCAUUGACAGCAGCAACCUAGCAAAUAAAAUAAUUGUAUGGAUUGCUUGACGCGAAGACUCGUGGUCUCAUCCGGUGCUGCUCUGCAGUUCUCUGUAGAUGGCAGCAUAGUCCUACUUCGUAACUCCAAUGGCGAAGUCCAGUUGAUAGCUGAACCUACUCAAAGAGUUGUGGCUGCUGCAAUGCUUGAUUCUGGUAACUUUGUUUUAUUUUUUAUUUUAAAAAAUAAAAAGAAGAUACUUUGAUAUUUAUUUACAUGAAGCAAUAGCAACAAAUUGAAAAAGGGGAGUUUUCUCCUUGUGAAACCCUAACUAGGCUUGAUUCAAGAGAGCCUUCUGACCUUCCACUUGGUAAGAAUUAAGAAACCAAAAGAAAAAAAAAAGUCAUUUUCAUUCAUUUCAUUCCAAUACCAAAUUGAAUUUUCUUUAAUUUCUGGCUUUUGUUGGUCUUUGUAACGCAAGAAUGUUCAAUAAUAAUACUCAGGACAUGCUGUGAAGGGGAAAAAUAGAGGAACAAGCUGAUUUGCAACAAGCCCUCGAGCUUCAAAGUAGAAGAUUAGUGGGGCUGCAACUUCUUGAUGUUCAGAAGCAUCAUCCUCACAGGGCUCUUUCUACUGGCAGCCCAAUUCCUUCCCCCACUCACUCUCCCAGUAUUUUCUAUCAAACUUUUCUCUUUCCUCUGCUUCACAAUAGCAGUACAGAACCUCUACUAGGUACUAAUCUUCAUUUGUUUAAUUUUUAAUCAAACUAAAGAGACUAAGAGUUUCAUUGAUUUUUUUAACAGAGAAUGGUUAAAGUCCUUGACCACACAAAUGCAUGUUUUACUUCUUAGUAGGAUGAUUAUAUUUGAUUUGACAAGUGUUAUUGCACAUGAAUGCAUGUACAAGUUUGCUAGAAUUUGUGUUGAAAUAAGAUCAGAAAAAAACUUAGGAAUGUAAGGUCUGAUAGUUGAAUUCCUGGAAAGCUGAUUAUUAGGAUUAAUAAAUGUUGUCAUACUGUCAAGGAGUUUGCAUUGUUUCUUAACAAGCUCUUAUUUCCACUAUACAUCAAAUUUUUAAUAUCAUCUUGUAACUAUCUGGCUCUUUAUAAUAUUGUAUGUGUUUUCUUACUGGCCUUUACAUGGGUAGGCUACUAUGUAUUAAGCAUGUAUGUGGUUGUUUUCUAUAUAUAUUAUGUUCAUAUAAAAAUAAAUAUUAGCCAUGAUAACAGAAGUAGAAAGAAGGCAGUGGGGCUUACUGUUGAAAGUUUUAUGAAUUUGUCUCCACCUCAGGCUUCCGAAAUUGGGUUGUUAAGUGAAAAUAAUAAGGUUAAUUGGUCUUUCUUUUAUUUAGUUAUUUAUUUCUAUCUUUUUCAUGUUGAAUCAUUUAUUUUGUGCAAAUGUAAAAAUCAUAAUAAAAUUAUUAAGUUUUUGUGCUGAUUUUGGGAGUUGGUAUGCAGGGAUUGAAUGGAGAAAAAAGAAAGAGAAAUGAUGAUAGAGUGGUGGAGAAGCCAAGAGAAGUGAUUCAUGUGAGAACAAAAAAGGCAGAGUAAUGGCCAGUCUAUAUGUGGGAAUCUCUAAAUUGGAAGCCUGGAUGGUAUGAAAAGGAUAAGAGGCUUCUAAUAAUUUUUCUUAAUUUUCAAGUGUUUCUACUAAUUUUUAUUAUAUUUUUAUUAUAAUACUUUUCACAGGAUGUUCUGGAAAGCACUUGUCAUAUAUCUUUAAUUCUAGACUAUUAAAUUGGAAGAGUAAUAAUGCAGUUUCUAAUAUUUUAUUUCAAUAUUGGUUGUAGAUGCAUAUAAUCCAUUUUAGUUUUUAGAAAUAUAAUUGUUGAGUCCAAUAUAUUUUGUGUUGACUAUUCAUGGCCUCUAGUAGUUUUUAUAGCUAUGGUUAAUAUUGUUAAAUAUAAGUGUACUGGAAAAAUUAUUUCACUUUAUAGGAAUCCAUUGAUUUAUAGGACUUGUUGAUUACAGGAGCUGUAAGUGAUUUUUCCAGAAUUAUGAAUUUAUUAUUGGAGCUAUAAUUAUAAUAAUUGAUAUUUUGGUGUACUAAUUGAUUUUAUGUACUUGCAGAUGAGGAAAAAAUGAAGCCGCAGAUUGAUAUUGAGUGACCUUGAGCUUUUUUUUUGUUGGAUAAUGUUUAUUGAAGCUAAUUUAAUAAUUUGUUGUCAAAAACUUAGUUUGGUACUUAUUUUUUUUUUUCUCCAAACAGUGUAAUUGAAUUAUGUUAAUUUAAGUGAUGAGUUUGAUAUAUUUAUUAUGUGAAUUGUUUUGCGAGAUUUGGUAUACGUAAUAGGUUUUGAGUUUUUUUAAUUGUAAAACAAAUAAGAAAAUAUAAUUAAAACAAAAAUAUCCUAUUAACCAAAACUAGCAUAACAACACUUGAUUCUGAAGUACUGUAGUCACAUAAAUCAUUGACAUGUAAAUUGUAUCAUUAAAUACUAACACUAUAGUGUUACUGUUUUGGCGAUACUAUAGUGACACGAAUUACUAACAUGUAAAAUAGUAUUAUCAAAUACUAAUACUAUAGUGUCAUUAUUUUUGUGAUACUAUAAUGACACGAAUUACUGACACCAAAAUCACUGACACUAAAAAUUAGUGUCAGUGCGUUCUGGCUUGAGCAUUAUUGACACAAUUAACAAGUGUCAGUAAAAGUGAUUACUGACACUAAGUUGGUGUCAGUAAAACUCAUUUUUGUAGUAGUGAAUAGAUGUGGAUGUCUAGUUUUAGAGUUUGACUUUUUUUUUAAAAUUAAUCAAAGAAAACGUAUUUUUAAUUUUGGGUUAUUGUACUAUUAAUUAAUAAUUUAAUUAAAAAAAAUUAUUUAUUUUCUUUCAUUCUAGUUGUUGAAAAUGCCUUUAAUAGGGGUUGGUUCAAUAUUUGGUUAGACUCUAAUUUCAUGCUGGCGAUCCAACUCCUUCUCUUCAUCCCUCUUUGACCAUUUGCAAUGUACUUGCAUUGCAAAUGUCUGUAGUCAAACUUGGGUCUUCAAUGUACUCACAUCCCUUGGUAGGAUUUCUCUCCUUCAAAGAUUAACGCUCUUCUUCUCGAGAUGCAAAUGGCUUUUAAAAUUGUCAUUUUUGUUAAUGUAGGUCCUACAUUCAUGGUUUUCUUGAGAUUUUAUAUCAUCUUAGCUUUAUGCAUUUAAAGAGUAAGAUUUUAUAUCACCUUAGCUUUAUGCAUUUAAUGAGGGAUAGGGUUUACUAUAUCCCCUAAUUUUUUUUAAAUUAGGAUGUCUAGUUUUAGAUGUGGAUGUCUAGUUUUAGAGUUUGACUUUUUUUUUUAAAUUAAUCAAAGAAAACGUAUUUUUAAUUUUGGGUUAUUGUACUAUUAAUUAAUAAUUUAAUUAAAAAAAUUUAUUUAUUUGCUUUCAUUCUAGUUGUUGAAAAUGCCUUUAAUAGGGGUUGGUUCAAUAUUUUGUUAGACUCUAAUUUCAUGCUGGCGAUCCAACUCCUUCUCUUCAUCCCUCUUUGACCAUUUGCAAUGUACGUGCAUUGCAAAUGUCUGUAGUCAAACUUGGGUCUUCAAUAUACUCACAUCCCUUGGUAGGAUUUCUCUCCUUCAAAGAUUAACGCUCUUCUUCUCGAGAUGCAAAUGGCUUUUCAAAUUGUCAUUUUUGUUAAUGUAGGUCCUACAUUCAUGGUUUUCUUAAGAUUUUAUAUCAUCUUAGCUUAAUGCAUUUAAAGAGUAAGAUUUUAUAUCACCUUAGCUUUAUGCAUUUAAUGAGGGAUAGGGUUUACUAUAUCCCCUAAUUAAUUGUGUUAAGUCUAUUUUUUUAUAUAGAGUUGACAUCUUAUGGCAAGUUUGGUAAAUUGAAAUUUUAUUUACUUAAUUUCAUGUAAUAGUGAAAUGGCCCGCCCCGAACCCUAGGGUGAGUCUAUUUAAUCUCGUCAAAACUGGAUUGAUAAUAAUCUAAUUAGUGAAAAUUCUGCCGAAAAUUCGGCAAAGUCUCAUUUAUAAAUAUAACACUCCCAAUCUGAAAAUAUGUAAAACAAGCACUUCCAAAAUAAUUCAAUUUAUAACAAACUCCAAUGAUCAACAUCCUCAACCAAAAUGCUGAGUGUUUCUCAAGAUAUCUCUAGAGUCUCAAAGGAUAAUAUUAUAACUAAUAUUAAUAUACCUCAGUUUAUUCUUAAUCCCAAAAGAACGAGAUAACCAAGAUGUCCUAACAAAAAGCAUCUAUAUCUUCUAACACCAUCACGUAACUCAAAAUAUAUUUACAGUCGCUGGGUCAGUCUGGUGUACCUGUAACCUCCAGGUGGGGGGGGGGGAAUAUAAUAAAAACGAGAUGAAUAUAAAACUCAAUGAGUGGAUAGUAAUUUUUGAAAAUUAAUUCUUACUUUAAAAUAAAUAAUCAUAUCAUUUCCAAACACGAUUUUAUCAAACCAUAUGCGAGAAACCAGUAAUAAAUCAUUUAACAUUUAAAUCGGAUUACUAACCAUGAAAAGUAUAUAUAAUAUCAUACCUAAUAACCAUGGAAAUCAUAUCACGAUAUCAUAUAGAACACACAGAUCUGAAAAUCAUCAUCAAACAAGUACCCAGGGGAAUAAUCUCGUCGUAUUCGGACCUCAACGGACGGGCAAUGACGUACUAUCUAGGUACCGUCACGCUCCAGAGCUACAUGGAUAGACAGGGAAAUACCAUGUCAUAUCUCAUCAUAUCUCAAAGGACAACAACGCCCAAGCACACGGCCCAAAGCCUCUAUGUGCACUCAGACGAGCCCCAAAGGCCUGUAUCUCAUAUGUAUCAUAUGUAUCUCAAUAUCUAUCUGCAUCUCAUAUCUGUAUCUUUGUAACCAUCAUACCGCAUGCAUAUGCCCCCAAAAUGCAAAAGCGCCCAAACACAUGGCCCAAUGCCUCUAUGUGUGUUCAGACGGGCCCCAAAGGUCUCUCAUCUCAUAUGUAUCACUGUAUCUGGAGGGAAGGGUACUGUCCAAUGAUUUUAAAAACAAUCUCUAUACUCAUACUCAUAUACAUUCUAAUCAUACCUUUCUUUUCAUUAUCACAUCUAAAUCCACUUUUCUCAUCUUUAAGAUACUAUCAUAUUUUAUUCAAGUCGAUACGGAAAACCAUUAACCAAACAUCUUAAUAUAAUAUCAAUGCGUGAAUAAAAUUCAUUUCGAGAAAAUCAUUAAAUCAUAAUAUUUUAAAUACUUAUUUCGCAAACAUGCUUUACUAUCAUAAUUAACUAUGAAAAUAGGUUUUGUAUAUUCCACUCACAGUGACAGUGUUCACGCUCGGUUAUCAUCCACGUCCGCAGACUAGUUCUCACUCGCGGAUCCUCCUAAAUCAAGGAAACGACAUAAUUAUUUUCCAUAAAUCGAAUUACGACUAAAUUUAUACAAUAAACUCGAAACGAACAUCUAUUCAUAAUUUCGGGUCAAACGGGUCGGGUUUUUGCGUCGGUUUUGACAGCUUCUCUCUCACACGUGUAUAUGUUACCCCAUUUCCAGCUUCUUCAUUUACUUUUAUUUACUUUUUAACUGCCUCACCCCUUUUUUCACAUAUGUUACAAAUAGGGUUUAAUUUAUUAAAUUCCUAGCUAAUUUAGUGAAAUUUCAAUUUAUUAGGAAUAUUGUUUCCUGGUUUUAACUAGAUGUCUAAUUUAGCAAGUCAAUUAGUGACAGGAUUUUUAUAAAUGGUGCGUGGGAUUUAUUUAGAGGAAGAAGUUAGUUCAAACAGAAAGUUCAUUAAAUGCUCUAAAUAUUUCUUAGGAGAUAAGUAAGGCAAGCAUAUCAUUUUUAUUCCUAUUCAGAUUUAUAGGAAUUAUAAGAGGAAACAAAUUCUUAUUUGGAAAGAAUCCUAGUCUUUUAACUACGGUUUUAAUAAAUUUUUUCACAUCAACCUCAUACUCAUCAAACAAUAUAUCAUAUUUAAUCCAAGAUUUAUCCAUUUUUUGUUUAGUACCUGACAUAUAAUUGAGACAAAUUUCAACAUAAUGUACUAAUGGGCAGCAAUGAUAAACCGUUUCCAUUAUCAAUAAAUUAAGUAACAAAACAUUAUUAAUAUUCAAUUUAUAAAUUUAAUGAAAUAAAUAAAUUUAAAACAAAAAAUUCUAACAAUCCGCCAUUUCAUGGACUGCAAGACUAUAUAUGUAUAUAUAUACACACGCAACUAAACAUUCCUUGGUCCACAUGAACAAACUUACCAUUUCUUUCAAACAUAAAAAAACAAUUGAAAAAGGGGGCCUCACUUUUCAGCUCAAUAAAAUACACGGAAAAGUAUUAUCAGUUACCAAAUCUAACUCACAAUCAUUAAAAAAAGAAAAAUGAUAAACGAACAAAAAGAAGUGAGAAGGACGAUAGAAACGGCAGCAUGAGCUGCCGUUUCACGCGUCCUUCUUACUAGAGAUGGCAAAAGUUCGGGUCGGGUCCGGGUUUGGGGCUGCCCGAGACCGACCCGGAUGUCAAACUUAGCUACCCGGACCCGCACCGUGCCCGGAAUUUUUCUAUGCGGGCCGGGCACAUGCCCGGCACUAUCCAGGCACGGGUUUUUUCCCAGGUUUUCUCUACCCGGAUUUGAGUGAUGAUGAAUUCAAAUGAGAUCAAAAUCAAACUCUCAUAAUAUAUGCAUAGCUUCGAAAUUAACCAUUUAACUUCCUCUUUUACAGAAAUUCAUCUUCCAAGUUUCCAGAUGCAGAAUACACCAUAUCCAAAGAAGCGACCCAAAUGUAGGUUCUACAAUUUUCCUUUACAUUGACUACUAGAGCUGUUACUUAGACAAAAAAAAGGUUCAAUUUAAAUUUGUUGGAUUGCGGCAUUCGUUGCAACCUCACAGCAGGUCAUGCUUAAGUAGGGAGUUUUAAACAAAGGUUUGCCAUAUUCCUCUGAAGGUAUAUAAGGUAAGGAUUAAAAAAAGAAAAAAGAAAAAAAAACAAUCAACACCAUUUGAAUUUUCCGCAAUGCGUUUGUACGAUGAAGUAGAAAAAAUAUUUCAACAGAAACAACUAGAUUGAAAUAUUUCAGACUAACAGUAAUGCUCUGUUUAUACAAGGAAGGGAAAAGACUAACAGUAAUGCUCUUUCUUAUUAUGUUAUGUGCAGGCAUUAACAAUGUAAACACUUCCAGCAUCCAAGAAAAUAAUUAAGCAUAUAUUGAAAGCAAUUUCAUCAUUUUUUUUUUUGAAAAAACAGCCCAAAAAAAAUUUACUUCGUGGGUCGUGGCUGUGGGUUGCAGGCUUGCAGCUGAUAUGGUGACAACUGAAAAAACAAUGGAGUGAGAGUGUGAGACCAGCUAUGGUGGCGGACGCCGUCGCUCGGUGGCUGCCGCUGAGAAGCUGACCAAACAAUGAAGAGCUCUUUGACCAUUUGACAGACUGACGAGUGACGACUGUGCUUUGCGGUUCGUGGAGGGAGAGGCGCGGUCAAUUGUCAAUACUGCAUCGCCAUCAGUGAAGGAUGGGUGGUGGCUGAGGCUGACUGGCUGUUGGUGGAGAGACGGAGGUAAGAGGUGUCAAUUUCGCGAUUUAGGGUUGGCCGGUUGGGUUUGGGGGAAAUUGGGCAAAGGCAAAUGGAAUUUGUUUAUAUAUUUUCCUCUUUUUUUUUUACUUAAUAAAAAAGCGGGCACGGGUCUGGGUUUCGGGUUCUUGGUGUUGUGACCGGACCCGUGCCCGGAAACACACGGGCAUUGAAAAUCAAUGCUCGGAUCUGCAUUUUUCAUGCAUUCGGUCCGGGUCCGGUCCGGGCGGGCUUUUCUGCCAUCUCUACUUCUUACUCUACCAUUUGGCGUUUAAAAUAUUAAAAUAACACUUUAAAAAGGAAAAUGGUAUUCACAUGAACGACUAAAGGAGAGCACAAAAAUUUGGGCCUAAAAGCCACAUGUUCGUACGUGCAAACACCACACGCACGCACACACGCAAAAAUCCAGUAAAAAACUUACGCGUCUCCCUCACCAAGCAGCAAGAUUCUCGAUCUCUCUCUCCCAACAUUCUCCAUCUCUCUCUCCCGUCUCAAUACUGGGUCAGUCUCAGCUUCGUUCUCCCUCACGACGCAGCAACAGUGAGAGAUCUCAAAGAUGUCUCUUGCUCCCUCACUCUCGCAGCCUCGCUAUCUCUCCUUUGACUGCCACUACAAAACCAGUCAUUUUCAACAAUAUCUUAUCGAAAAAAAUGGAACAAAAGCCACAACCUUGCAGUCAACAGUGCUGCCGUUGAUAUGGUUCUGAUAGUUAAAUAGGUUCUGAUAUAUAGUUAAAGAAUAUUUUCUGGACAUGUCUAGUAGAUGCCCUGCUGUUGAUAUAGAUAGUUACAAGACGAUAUUGUAUCAGCAAAUUUUUAUUCAUUCAUCUAGUCAUAGUGCAAGUUGUAGCAAUUAGAGAGAAAAUCGAUGAGGAUGGAAAACGAUCCGAGUGUCUUAUUGUCAGUGUUGUCGACUAAUUAAUUCUGUUAACCCAAAGUUGCAAUCUGAUUUUUGUUCUCUCAAAUGGAGUCCAAAUGCUGAAUUCCGCAGCUACAAAGAAAUCCGAACAAUUUCCAUUCCAUGCCUUCUCAAUCGUCAAUGGCCAAUUUGUGCCACUUAUAUGUAUCAACUGCAAAGCUGCCUCUAUUGACGUGGUGGUUAUCGGCACCAAACUCAAAUCUUGACGGCACCAAAUGCAUAUUUCUCAGCUUUUAAAUAGCAAACCACUGAUUUUAUUUUAUUUUAUUUGGCUUUCGAAGUCGGAGUUCUGCCACUUGGAGAAAGGAAAUGGCCGCAUUUUUUUUUAAAGUUGUGGAACAACUACAGGAGUAUAUCAGAGGCCUCCAUUUCUAAACUUUAUUGCGGGCCAUUGCUUAUUUAAUUGAGAUCAAACAUUAUUUUUGCGCCAUUUUUUAACCAUUAUUUUAAUGUAUUUGUAGACCAUGGGGAAGAGUGAGAAGGACGCGUGAAACGGCAGCAAAUGCUGCCGUUUCUGUCGUCCCUCCUUCUUCCUUAUGGCUAAAUAGCAUAACUCAAAAAGAAAUGUCAACACCAUUGGACCUCAGUUUUGGAUCCAUCCCAAUAAAAAACACUAGUCAAUGAAAAGUGAUAUAUCAUCAAGCAAAAUCAGUUAAAACAAAUGCAAGCUGUGACUAAAAAAUUACAAAAUAUAACAAAAUUCAGACCAACCAUUGCCAGCAAGCAUUGUUUAAACAUUGAAUGGAAAGGCAAGUAAAGAAUUGAACAAACCUGAUGCUAGAAAUCGAAUUUGAAAGGGAACAAAGCAGUGAAAUCCUGCAAUUCAGAAAAAAAAAUUUUAAAAAAAAAAGGACAUACUAAAUUAAAUGAUUGAGCAAUUUCAAGAUUUAAUAAAAGGACAAAGUAUAAGCUUCUUGAAUUAAAAAAAUAAAAAAAAUAACAAAUGAAACAAACAAGAAUUAAAAAAAUAAAUAAUAAAGAUAAACCAUUCAUGAUAGAAAUCCCAAAAAUAGGGCAUAAAUUAUAAACAAAUAAGGGAGAUAAGGACAAAACUGACAAUUAAUUUUAUAAUGCCCAACUAAUUUAUUCAAAAUAAAAAAAUAAAAAAGCUAAUUGACAAUAAACCUAAGGAUUCAGCAAUUACAAGGAUGGCUUCUCCACCGCCAAUUAAGCAAUGCAAACAAAUAGUGACAACGACGGCUUCAAUAGCGAACGUGUUGUUCGAAGGCGCAACAAUGAGCAUAUACGGUGAUUUUUGGCAUAAAAAUUUAUAAUGAAGUGGUUGCUUCAAUGGCAUAUACGAUGAUUAUGGUUUCCAUGCAAUGGAUUUCAAAACCAAUUUGUAGAUUAAAGUAGGGCUUGUUAAUUUUGGAUUUUGAGGGGUUUCAAUGCUUAGGUUUCUCAACCCUUGCCAAUGGAGUGAUGAAGUCAAAGGAGCUGAAGUGUUUAUUAAAAAUUAGAAUUUUCUUGUAGUUUAAAGUCUAUAGUAAACGACAGCAUUUAGAAGUUAAAAUAAAUAUUUUUACUUUCAAAAUUUUUUAAAUUAUGAAAUAUCAACACACAGUGCCGUUUCAUGCCCAAAUUGAUCUAUCAUAAACUCACCAUUUCAUUAAAUAUUAAUACGCUAUCAUAUUUAUAUGAUAUAUAAAAACUCUAUCACAAAUUUAUCAUGCCUUUAUGAUGUAUGAAAAUUCUAUCAUGUGUCUAUCAUAUUCUUGUGAUAAAUGACUAAUUUUCUAAUAUCUAUCACAAAAAUUCUUCAUGUUAGCCCAUUAUUCUAGUAGUGAGAUAUUUAUCCAACUGGACUACAAAGUAAUUGAAAUUAAUUGUAACACCUAUGGCCAAACCAUGGACCCAGUGUUACUCUAUAAUUACAAUCAACUUGACUCUGAAUGAAAUGGGAAAAUGGGGGCAAAUGCCUACUCUAGGCUCUAACCAUGAAACAAUAAUCAAAUCAUCAGACUUCUAAAAUAAGCCAAAGAAACAUUACUCACAAACCCAUCUAUUAACAUCUUUAAAGCUUUGGCACUAAAAAAAGAGAGUUUUGUGUUAAAUAGUUGUAACAUAUGUGAAUUAAAAAUGAAAUUGAGGCGGUUAAGGACUUUAUUAAAAAGAAUAGAAUAAGCUAGAAACAGGGAACAUAUACACACACGUGUGAGAGUAACAGAAGCUAUCAACAGACCCGAAAACCCGACCCGGAACCCGCGAACGUGACCCGGCCAUAUCUCCCAUUUUCGCCCACCGUUUCGACCGAGCUUGGUACCAAUCUAAAGCUUAGAAGCUGGUCGUCGUUCCCCUGCCAUCCUCGCCACCGGAACGCCGGCGAUCGAAGCUUGAAAACCCGCGACUAUUUCGCUUUGUUCCGCCAGGAUUUUCGCCGAAUUUGGGUGACACCACCAGUUGGAUUUUGUUCCUCAUGACUCCCUCUUCCAUUUCCGACCAUCCACCGCCGCCAGGGACAUCGUUUUGCCGUUGAUCGGCCGUUGAAGGACUUACGGCCUUGGGAGCUCGAUCCGUUUCGCGCGUGGGAGGUCACCACUGCCACCGUUGGACUCAGUGUGGCUAGAACUUUCAGACCCGUGCUUCCCAGCCAGCGUUGACCAAAUUCCGGUGACCGUUGACCGGCAAGGGCAUUUCGGAAAUUUCACACCAUGAGGGCAAUUUAUAAUUUUCGAGCUUGUGGAUAUUUUAGUAAUUCCUGGAAUUGAGGAUUGGGUGUAAUUAUGAUUCCGAGGGUAAUUCGGUGAUUUACGAUUUCUGAGUAUUUUAAUGAUUUACAGACUCGAGGGCAUUUUAGUAAUUUUACCAACACGGGAGUUGUAAAUUAUAGAUAGAUGUUCGUUUCGAGUUUAUUGCAUAAAUUUAGUCGUAAUUCCGAUUUACGAAAAAUAAUUGUGUCGUUUCCUUUAUUUAGGAGGAUCCGCGAGCGAGAACCGUUCCGCGAACGUAGACGAUAACCGAGCAUGAACACCGUCGUUGUGAGUGGAAUAUACAAAACCUAUUUUCAUAGUUAUAUGAUAGUAAAGCAUGUUUGCGAAAUAAGUAUUUUAAAUGUUCUGAUUUAAUGAUUCCCUCGAAAUGGAUUUUAUUCACGUAUUGGUAUUUUAUUAAAAUGUUUGGUUAAUGAUUCUGCGUAUCGACUUUGAAUAAAGUAUGAUAGUAUUUUAAAGACAAGAAAAGUGGAUUCAAAUGUGGUAUAAUUUAAAGUAUGGUUAAAAGGUAUGUGAAUAUGAGUAUAGUGAUUGUUUUUUAAAUCAUUAGACAGUACCCUUUCCUCCAGAUACAGUGAUACAUAUGAGAUGAGAGGCCUUCGGGACCCGUCUGAACACACAUAAAGGCUUUGGGCUGUGUAUCUGGGCGAUUUUGCCUUUUGGGGGCAUAUGCAUGUGGUAUGAUGAUUACAGAGAUACAGACAGAUAUUGAGAUACAGAUGAUACAUAUGAGAUGCAGGCCUUUGGGGCCCGUAUGAGUACACACAGAGGUUUUGGGUCGUGUGCUUGAGCGCUUUUGUCCUUUGGGGACUAGAUUAUGCAUGCACAUAUUUGAUGAGAUAUGAUAAGAUAUGAAACGGUAUUUCCCUAUCUAUCCGUGUAGCUCCGGGGCGUGAUGGUACCCAGAUAGUACGUCAUUGCCCAUCCGUUGAGGUCCGGAUAUGAUGAGAUUAUUUCCCCGGCUACUUGUUUAGUGAUGAUUUUCAGUCUUGUGUAUUCUAUAUGAUAUUGUGAUAUGAUUUCCAUGAUUAUUACGUAUGAUCGUUAUAUAUGUUUUUCAUGGUUAGUAAUCUGGUUUAAGUGUUAAAUGAUUUAUUACUGGUUUCUCGCUUAUGGUUUGAUGAAAUCGUGUUUGAAAAUGAUAUGAUUAUUUCUUUUAAAGUAAGAAUUAAUUUUUAAAAACUACUAUCCACUCACUGAUCUCACUGAGUUUUAAACUCACCUCGUUUUUAUUAUAUUUUCCCCCCCACCAGGAGGUUGCAGGUACACCAGACCGACCCAGCGACUGUAAAUAUAUUUUGAGUCUUGGCCUCGUGAUGGUGUUAGAAGAUAUAAAUGUUUUCGUUAGGACAUCUUGAUCAUCUUGUUCUUUUGGGAUUGUAUAAUUUUGUUAUAUUAUUCUUUCGGGAUUAAGAAUAAACUGAGAUAUUAAUAUUAGUUAUAAUAUUAUCUUUUCAGAUUCUGGAGAUAUAAAACUAAGCAUUUUGGUUGAGGAUGUUAUUACUGGAGUUUGUUGUAUAUUGAAUUAUAUUGGGAGUGUUAUAUUCAUAUUUGUAGAUUGGGAGUGUUAUAUAUAUAAAGGAGACUCUGCCGAAUUUUCGGCAGAAUCCUUACUAAUUAGAUUAUUAUCAAGUUCGUUUUGAUGAGACUAGAUUGACUUGCCUAGGGGGGAUUCGGGGCGGGUCGUUUCAGUUGGUAUCAGAGCAUGGUUUUAGAUUCUGUAGACUUUACUAUCUUAAUAAGAAUAAGUUUUAUCUUUAUUAAAGUUAGAAUUUAUAUCUUGUAUGCACCAUCAUGCUUCGUCGUAGCAGUAGACGUGGUCGUGGCCGUACUAGGCCAAUAGCUGAGUUGACUUCUGGUAGUGUACCUACGGGGAAAGUGAACCCGCGAAUGAGGGGGUAGUUGAAUCCUCCACGCAUGAAAUCGCACAACAGUCACUGAGGAAUGCCCUAAAUAUCGAGCACUCAUUUGAUAAGUUGGCUUAGAUCAUGGCUACAGUUGUGCAAAAUCAGACUCAAGCGCAUGUCAGUAACACAAACACUAUUGAGUGAGUGAGGAGUUUAGGGGCGAGGACCUUUAAUGGUUCUGGAGAACUACCUGAGGCUGAGUCAUGGUUUGUUAAGUUAGAGCAAAGUUUUGACGUGAUGAAGUGUUCGGAGGAUGACAGACUAUUCGUCGCCACUUUCCUGCUCGAGGAUAAAGCUUACCAUUGGUGGCAGAUAGUGGAGAGACGAUAUCAGGGGCAUGCUGCGAUUACUUGGGCUAUUUUCCAUAAGGAAUUCUAUGAUCAUUAUUUUCCUGUUGUAUAUCAGGAUAUUAAACGGAGUGAAUUCUUUCGGUUAGUUCAGGGAUCUCUGACAGUUGAGGAGUAUGAGAAGAAAUUUUUAGACCUCUCUAGAUUUGCUACAUCUGUAGUCGGUGAUGAGAGAGAGAGAUGCAGACGGUUUGAGGAUGGCCUCCGAUUUGAGAUUCGCACCACCGUGACUGCAUCGCGAUAUACUGAGUUUGGAGAGGUAGUUGAGGCAGCUAGGAGAGUAGAGCACAGUAUUUUGUAAGGACGUGGAGUUCAUGCACUGAAGCAGAAAGCGUAGCCAGAGCUGGGCAGAGGGUGGCUCUAGUAGUAGGCAGCCCAAGAGAGGGGGUAUUCCUACAUGUUAUUCUGAUAGUACGCAAAGGAGUCAGGGUACAAGCUUCAGAGGAGACGCGAGACAGACUAUCAGUCAUAGCCCAGUGCAACCAUCAGUAGGGAGUAAUACCAGGAAUUAGGGACAGUACGACCGCAGUGGUGGGGGAUAUCGUGAUGAUCGUUCUAGGAGUGUCCAGCAGACUUCUUGCCCUUCAUGUGGUAGGAAUCAUCAGGGCCAGUGUCGCGUUGGAGACAGAGUUUGUUAUUUGUGUGGUCAGCCUGAACACAUCAGGAGAUUCUGCCCUACUUUAUCUCAGGGUGAUAGCUCUGUACGAGGGACAGCCUCACGGUAUCGGCCUUACUUUGGCCAGGCUCAGGGUCAGAGAGGAGUGUAGACAAAAGUUUCUACAUCUACCUUUAGGAGUCAGACGACUGCUCCAGGUCAGAGAGGGCAGCCUGGUCGACCUCAUACUCAGGCUCGAGUUUUUGCUUUGACGCAAUAGGAGGCACGUGUUGCACUAGAAGUUAUUAUGGGUAUAUUAUCUAUCAUUGGCCGCGAGGCUCAUAUUCUUAUUGAUCUUGGAUCCACACACUCUUUCGUUUCCCAUACUUUUACUAUGCACAUAGGGCGAGAGCCCGAACUGUUAGAUUAUGGUUUAGUUGUUCGUACACCUACUGGAGAAUCAUUACUUGCUGAGAGUGUGUAUCAAGAUUGUAUGAUUGGAAUAGGUGAACAUGAAUUUGAGGUGAAUUUGAUUUCCUUAGGCAUUUAUGACUUUGAUGUUAUUUUGGGCAUGGAUUGGCUUGAAUUUCAUUAUGCUACGGUGGAUUGUUUCAAAAAGGAAGUUUGUUUAAAAAGCCAGGGAAAACUGAAGUGAAAUUCUGUGGGGAGCACAAAGUUCUACCUUCAUGUGUUAUAUCUUCCAUUAGUGCAAGACGGUUGCUAAGAAAAGAAUGCUCAUCUUAUUUAGCUCAUGUGAUAGAUACAGAAGCUCGAGAAUUGAGAUUGGAGGAUAAUGCAGUAGUCAAAGAAUUUCCAAAUGUAUUUCCAGACGAACUUCGUAGGAUGCCACCUAAUAGGAAAGUUGAGUUUUCUAUUGACUUAGUCCCUGGAACAUCUCCUAUAUCUAUGGCACCAUACAGGAUGGCUCCAGCAGAGUUGCAGGAACUGAAGGUUCAAUUGCAAGAGUUGGUGGAGAAAGGGUUUAUUAGACCUAGUGUGUCCCCGUGGGGAGCUCCAGUCUUGUUUGUUAAGAAAAAUGAUGGGACUUUUAGACUCUGCAUUAACUACAGGCAGUUGAACAAAGUUACGGUACGCAAUAAGUAUCCAUUUCCAUGCAUUGAUGACUUGUUUGAUCAACUCCAUGAGGCGAAAGUAUUUUCUAAGAUCAAUUUGCACUCAGGUUACCAUCAGCUUAGAAUUAAAGACGUCGAUGUUCCGAAAACGGCAUUUAGAACCCGUUAUGGACACUAUGAGUUCUUAGUGAUGCCAUUUGGGUUGACAAAUGCUCCAGCUGCUUUUAUAGACCUUAUGAAUAGGGUAUUUCGCCCUUAUCUAGAUCGAUUUGUGAUUGUAUUCAUUGAUGAUAUAUUGGUGUAUUCCCAAAGUGAGGAGGUGCAUGCAGAGCAUUUGUGGACUAUUUUACAGACUUUGAAGCAGAAGCAGUUGUAUGCCAAGUUCAGCAAGUACGAGUUCUGGUUGGACAUAGUAGUAUUUUUGGGCCAUCUGAUAUUAGCAUAAGGUAUUUAUGUUGAUCCUCAAAGGAUUGAAGCAGUUGUGAAAUGGGAACGACCUACAAAUGUCACAGAGGUUCAGAGUUUUCUUGGAUUGGCUGGUUAUUAUCGUAGAUUUGUGGAGGGAUUCUCCAAGAUUGCUACUCAUCUGACACAGUUAACCAGAAAGAAUGCUAAGUUUAAGUGAGAUGAUGAUUGUGAAAAGAGUUUUCAAGAACUUAAGACAUGUUUGACCUCAGCACCAGUUCUUACACUUCCAUCUGGUAAUGAAGGAUUUGUGGUAUACAACGAUGCCUCUAGGCAGAGAUUAAGUUGUGUGUUAAUGUAGCAUGGGAAAGUGGUGGCUUAUGCUUCUAGACAACUUAAGAAACAUGAACAAAACUACCCAACACAUGACCUAGAACUAGCAGCAGCGGUGUUUGCACUCAAGACAUGGAGGCAUUACUUAUAUGGGACAACGUGUCAGAUUUUCACUGAUCAUAAGAGCCUGAAGUAUUUGUUUACUCAGAAGAAGUUGAAUUUGAGACAGAGGAGAUGGAUUGAGUUAAUUAAGGAUUACGAUUGCACUAUCGAUUAUCAUCCGGGUAAAGCAAAUGUGGUAGCUGAUGCACUAAGUAGAAAGUCGUCCAGCUCUCUAGCUCACUUGCGAGUGAAAUAUGUGCCUCUGUUGAUCGAGUUGAGAUCUUUGGGAGUCAAGUUGAACGCUGACAAUUGUGGAGCUUUGAUAGCUAAUUUUCAAGUUAGGCCGACUUUGAUUGACAAAGUUCACCAUAUGCAAGCUCAGGACCCACAGUUAAUGAAGUUUAAAUAGGAUGUGCAGAAAGGUUUACGAACCGAUUUUAUGGUGAGAGAUGAUGGAAUCUUAGUAAUGGGUAAUAGACUAUGUGUACCUGAUAUUAAGAAUCUGAAAGAAGAAAUUAUGGAAUAAGCUCACUAUUCAGCAUAUGUGAUGCAUCCUGGUAGUACGAAGAUGUAUCGCACCCUGAGGGAUCAUUAUUGGUGGCAGGGCAUGAAGAGAGAGAUAGUAGAAUUUGUUUCUCAAUGUUUAGUUUGUCAGCAGAUUAAGGCUGAACACCAGAGGCCUGCAGGGUGUUCUUAACCGCUUCCUAUUCCUGAGUGGAAGUGGGAGCACAUCACUAUGGAUUUUGUAGCAGGACUUCCACGUACUCAGAAAGGACAUGAUAGUGUUUGGGUGGUUGUUGAUCGAUUUACAAAAUCUGCUCACUUCUUACCAUUCAAAACCACAUAUUCGAUGGACAAGUUAGGGAGUAUUUAUGUGGCUAAGAUAGUUCGACUUCACGGAGUACCCGUGUCCAUAGUUUCAGAUAAAGAUUCCCAGUUUACUUCUAAGUUCUGGACCAGUUUGUAAAAUGCUUUAGGCACCAAGUUGAAUUUUAGUACAACUUUUCAUCCACAAACUGAUGGACAGUCAGAGCGUAUUAUUCAAACUCUGGAGGAUAUGUUGUGAGCUUGUGUUAUGGAGUUUAAAGGUAAUUGGGACAAUCAUUUACCUCUGAUGGAGUUUGCUUACAACAACAGCUAUCAAGCUAGUAUCGAGAUGGCACCAUAUGAGGCUUUAUAUGGUAGGAAAUACAGGACUCCAGUAUGUUGGGAUGAGGUUGGUGAGCGGAGGUUAUUCGGUCCAGAACUAGUCCAGGAUACUAACGAGUGAAAUACAAGUGUGCAACCCAAGAGGGGGGUGAAUUGGUAUUCUAAAAAUUAUUUGAUUCUAAAACAAAUUAUCAUGCAAAUCUAAAAUGAAUUUAAUGGAAUAACAAUUAAAUUAAUUACAAUAUAAAAAUAUAAGGGAAGAGAGAUUCAAACACGAAGAUUUUUACGUGGUUCGGCCAACCUCGCCUACGUCCACGCCUCCAAGCUUUCCGGGCUUGAGGAUUUCACUAAGCAAGCCUCCAAGGCUUCAAAUGCUUACACUUGACUUCCAAGGUGUCAAUGAACCUUUACAACAAGAGAUUAUCCUCAAUUGUUUAACCUAAGUGUAUCCCAACACUUACAAUCACUCAAAGUAAAAGAUUAAAAAUUAUUUUUCUCUCACACAAUAUUUAAGAUUACAAAUCAAUGCCCAAUGUGUGAAUAGAUGAAGUAAGAAUGUAUUUUAAAGCUCUAUGAAGAUUGUAUUCUCGAAUAUAAGCUCAAUGGUCGUGUUGUGAUCAAUCUUGUUUGAAUUUGAAUGAGCUUAUUUAUAGUUGGAGCUGAAAACUAGUCGUUAUUGACUUUCUGCUCAUUGUCGGAUCGCCGUUAACUAUAUGUCGGAUCCGUUUGACUGGUCAAUAUGACCGUUGGGCUGAAUUUUCAAAUUGUCGGAUCGCCGUUAUCUAUAUGUCGGAUCGCCGUUAGUGUCCAGAGACUAAUCUUCAAUUCUGUUCGAUGUCGGCGAGCUGUUAUCAAGAUGUCGGAUCGCCAUUUUCUACAGUAACUGCUACAGUGAACUAUUUUUACAAAAUUAUAGUUUGACCCUAAAACUUUGUAAAAUUAUAUUAUGACCCAAAACUUUAUAAAACUUGUCAAUUAGGUCCAUUUUCAGGAUUUUAAGCAAUACUUGUUAUUAUCAAAAAUCUCAAAGCUUUUUCAAUUGAAACCUUUAACAUGAGAAUAACUAAAAAUAUUUUCAUAGAAUAUAAGGCCUUUAUAAAGUGAGAAUGAUGAUUUAAAAGUAUAUGAAAAUUAUUUUGAGCUUUUAAAAUAUUAAUCAAUCUUAAUCAAGUUUGUUAUCAUCAAAAUCAAUAAUAAAGAAAUAUUUAUGUUAACAACGAGAAGAUACAAUUGAUCCGAGAUAGAUUAAAGGUGGCCCAAGAUAGACAGAAGAGUUAUGCAGACAAGCGUAGCCGGGAACUUGAAUUCGAAGUUGGUGAUAGAGUUUUCAUACGGAUAUCUCCUUGAAAAGGGGUGCUUCGAUUUGGGAAACGUUGGAAGAUAAGUCCACGUUACAUUGGGCCAUAUGAGAUCAUCAAGCGUAUCGGUCCGUUAGCUUAUCGAUUAGCUCUACCACCCAAGUUAUCCAGAAUCCACGAUGUGUUUCAUGUCUCAAUGCUCCGGAAGUACAUAUAUUACCCGAGUCAUGUGUUAUCGAAGCAACCAAUUCAGUUGAAGGAAGAUUUGACUUACGAAGAGGAACCAGUGGAGAUACUGGAAGAGAAACACCAAGUUCUGCGUUCUAAGACCAUUCCUCUAGUAAAAGUACGGUGGAGGAAUCAUAUAAAGGAAGAGGUUACCUGGGAAUGCGAGGAUUUAAUGUGAGCUCAAUAUCCCUAUCUUUUCUUAUCAGGUACGUAAAUUUCGAGGACGAAAUUUUUAUAAGGGAGGAGGAUUGUAACAUAUGUGAAUUAAAAAUGAAAUUGAGGGGGUUAAGGACUUUAUUAAAAAGAAUAGAAUAAGCUAGAAACAGGGAACAUAUACCACACGUGUGAGAGUAACAUAAGCUAUCAACAGACCCGAAAACCCGACCCAGAACCCGCGAACGUGACCCGGCCAUAUCUCUCAUUUUCGGCCACCGUUUCGGCCGAGCUUGGUACCAAUCUGAAGCUUAGAAGCCGGUCGUCGUUCCCCUGCCAUCCUCGUCACCGCAAACCAACCGGAAUGCCGGCGAUUGAAGAUUGAAAACCCACGACUGCUUCGCUUUGUUUCGCCGGGAUUUUCACCGAAUUUAGGUGACACCACCGGUUGGAUUUUGUUCCUCAUGACUCCCUCUUCCAUUUCCGACCAUCCACCACCCCCAGGGACAUCAUUUUGCCGUUGAUCGGCCGUUGAAGGACUUACGGCUUUGGGAACUCGAUCCGGAGCCAUCGCCGCGUGUGGGAGGUCAACACCGCCACCGUUGGACUCAGUGUGGCCAGAAUUUUCAGACCCGUGCUUCCCGGUCAGCGUUGACCAAAUUUCGGUGACUAGUGACUGUUGACCGACAAGGGCAUUUGGGUAAUUUCACACUAUGAGGGCAAUUUUAUAAUUUUUGAGCCUAUGGAUAUUUUAGUAAUUCCUGGAAUUGAGGAUUGGGUGUAAUUAUGAUUCCGAGGGUAAUUCGGUGAUUUACGAUUUCGGAGUAUUUUAAUGAUUUACGGACUCGAGGGCAUUUUAGUAGUUUUACCGACACGAGAGUUGUAAAUUAUGGAUAGAUGUUCGUUUCGAGUUUAUUACAUAAAUUUAGUCGUAAUUCCGAUUUACGAAAAAUAAUUGUGUCGUUUCCUUUAUUUAGGAGGAUCCGCGAGCGAGAACUGGUCCGCGGACAUGGACGAUAACCGAGCAUGAACACCGUCACUAUGAGUGGAAUAUACAAAACCUAUUUUCAUAGUUAUAUGAUAGUAAAGCAUGUUUGCGAAAUAAGUAUUUUAAAUGUUCUGAUUUAAUGAUUCCCUCGAAAUGGAUUUUAUUCAUGUAUUGGUAUUUUAUUAAAAUGUUUGGUUAAUGAUUCUGCGUAUCGACUUUGAAUAAAGUAUGAUAGUAUUUUAAAGACAAGAAAAGUGGAUUUAAAUGUGGUAUGAUUUAAAGUAUGGUUAAAAGGUAUGUGAAUAUGAGUAUAGUGAUUGUUUUUUAAAUCAUUAGACAGUACCCUUUCCUCCAGAUACAGUGAUACAGAUGAGAUGAGAGGCCUUCGGGACCCGUCUGAACACACAUAAAGGCUUUGGGCUGUGUAUUUGGGCGAUUUUGCCUUUUGGGGGCAUAUGCAUGUGGUAUGAUGAUUACAGAGAUACAGACAGAUAUUGAGAUACAGAUGAUACAGAUGAGAUGCAGGCCUUUGGGGCCCGUCUGAGUACACACAGAGGCUUUGGGCCAUGUGCUUGAGCGCUUUUGUUCUUUGGGGACUAGAUUAUGCAUGCACAGAUUUGAUGAGAUAUGAUGAGAUAUGAGAUGGUAUUUCCCUGUCUAUCCGUGUAGCUCCGGGGCGUGACAGUACCCAGAUAGUACAUCAUUGCCCGUCUGUUGAGGUCCAGAUAUGAUGAGAUUAUUUCCCCAGGUACUUGUUUAGUGAUGAUUUUCAGUCUUGUGUAUUCUAUAUGAUAUUGUGAUAUGAUUUCCAUGAUUAUUACGUAUGAUCGUUAUAUAUGCUUUUCAUGGUUAGUAAUCUGGUUUAAAUGUUAAAUGAUUUAUUACUGGUUUCUCGCUUAUGGUUUGUGUUGUGAAAAUUUUAAUAUACUCACAAGCGCACGAAUCUAGAAAUAGAAUAGUGGUAACGUGGUCGAUCCCACAGGGAUUGUUAUAAAUUGAAAAGUCUAAUUUAAAUCUAAAAUUAAUAUUAAUCCUAACCUAGUUGAGCAAAUUGAGUUUCAAAAGAAAUUAAACUAAUUAAACUAAGAAAACAAUUAAAGUAAAUGAGAUUUCAAUAAGACAAAAAUUACCAAGGUUUCAGAAUCCACCACUAUUCAACUAGUAAUUAUCUAAUUAUCAAUUAAUCCCCAAUUUUAGAGUGACAACUUGAAAUCAAUCUAUAUCAUCUCAUGAAUAUAACAAUUAAGCUCAAUUAAAAUUAAUCUAAUAUAUGUUCUUUUUCUGCUUAAUAGUAUGAUAUCUAAGCAUCUCAUGUAAACAUAUUGAAUAACAAAGAGUCAUAGUUUUCCUAAGCACUCUAUGUAAACAAUUUAAUGAAAGACAUAGAAUCAAAGAUAAUCAUGUAUAAACUUUAUAGAUCCAAGCAUAGAUUUAAUCGAAUAUUAAUCCUAAUAAUCAAUAAUGCAUGACAGAAUUGAUGAAAAGAUUUUAAUAACAUCCAACUAAUCAUGUGAAAUGAAAAUUAUAAUCGUCAAAGAACAUAUAUAAGGAAUUAAUUAAAUAAAAAGAUAAUUAUUUUAUUGAAUAGGGUUUCAUUCUUAAUUUCAGUAAAAAAAAAUUAGCUAGACAUACUUGAAUUGGGAGCAUCAAAAUUAAUAAAAACAGCCAUGGAGAAAUUGAGGAGCUGCUGCCGCUGCUUUAUUCUGUCUCACGUCCUCCCUUUUGUUUCCUUUCUGGCGGCUGCCCUCUUCUCCAAAAGCCAAAACUCCCUUUUAUAAUCUUUAAAAUGGGCCCCACCUCUUAAAUCCUAAAGCCAAAAUGCUAGCCUUUUUAUUUGCUUUAGCUCUCACACGUGCCCACCAUAAGCCAUAAAUUGUUUCCUCUUUUAAUUGCUCAACACGGGCCCACUUAUGCAAAGCCUAAUCAAGCUUCAUUUAAUCCUCAUGUGCUGGCCACUUUUAAAGCUAAUAUCACUUUCUCCUCUUUGUCCGCAUGUGGAUGAUGCAUGCAUUUGUUGAGUUCGGUUUCCUUGGCUUGAAUUAACAUGCAUAUAAGCAUAAUUGCUUCUAAGUUAAUUAAUCUUUAAUGCUCACAAAUUGAACUCUUUUAUGCUCUUUUUAUCCAUAAUCUCUAAUUAAUUCCCUAUUCAAUAAAAUAAUUCAAUUAAUUAAAAAUAACAAAUAAAUAUAACUAGCAAUUAUUUAAUUAAGGGUAAAAUAUGUAUAUAUUAUAUGCUCAUCAGUUUGAUGAAAUCGUGUUUGAAAAUGAUAUGAUUAUUUCUUUUAAAGUAAGAAUUAAUUUUUAAAAACUACUAUCCACUCACUGAUCUCUUUGAGUUUUAAACUCACCCCAUUUUUAUUAUAUUUCUCCCCCCCCCCAGCAGGAGGUUGCAGGUACACCAGACCGACCCAGCGACUGUAAAUAUAUUUUGAGUCUUGGCCACGUAAUGGUGUUAGAAGAUAUAGAUGUUUUUGUUAGGACAUCUUGGUCAUCUUAUUCUUUUGGGAUUGUAUAAUUUUGUUAUAUUAUUCUUUCUGGAUUAAUAAUAAACUGAGAUAUUAAUAUUAGUUAUAAUAUUAUCUUUUGAGAUUCUAGAGAUAUAAAACUCAGCAUUUUGGUUGAGGAUGUUGAUCACUGGAGUUUGUUGUAUAUUGAAUUAUAUUGGGAGUGUUAUAUUCAUAUUUGUAGAUUGGGAGUAUUAUAUAUAUAAAGGAGACUUUGCUGAAUUUUCGGCAGAAUCCUUACUAAUUAGAUUAUUAUCAAGUUCAUUUUAAUGAGACUAGAUUGACUCGCCCGGGGAAAUUCGGGGUGGGUCGUUUCAAUAGUAUUGAAAGUAAACACAGCAGCAAUUAUAUAUAGCAAAGAUUAGUGGGAAAACAGAUGUAUUAAAAUUGUUCGACUCCAAAUUCUGUCAGAAUAAACUAAAUGAGCGUAACAAUCAACUGGACCACAGAGAAAGAUAUCUCCAACGCCAUAAGCGGUCGCUUCUGAAAAUGCAUUCUGGUUGCAGCUCUAGUUCAAAUUCUUCUCAUGGUACAAGUAUGCGUACUCAUGGUAAUAGCAAAACCAAUGCUGACAAUAGAAAUGCAGCAAAAAGGAUGCUCCUCUUCCCAAUCAACGAAAAAGCAUUGUCAUUCAUUACGUGAAAAAUUUUAAGAUCAGAAAUUGGAGGCCAAUUGUAUGCGAAACUCUGAUAUUUUACCUCGAUCUAUCUAAAUCCAAACAGGAAAAUGAAUACUCGAGCAAUAUUCAAAUAUCGAAAAAGCAUAUUUUCAAAAUUAAGUGAGGAAAAAAAAUUUCAGUAUCAAUUAACUGAUCUUCAUUAGGCGUUAAUUUUUAUUUUUCCUUAAAAAAAAAAGCACUUCCGGAGUCAUUCUAAGAUUCAUGACAAAUAGUAAAAUGUAAUGUUUGUUCUCCUCAUAAAUUUAUAUAAGGCAGUUAGAAAAUAGCAUAGCUUUCUUCUAAGUUAUAAUUAUUGGGUCUAUUAGGCGGAAUAAAAAUAACAAGUUGGAUCUUUGUGUAAAUAUCUUUUUUUUUCAUUGAAAAUUAGAUAUAUCAAACUUAUUCAUCGGGGCUUUAUUACAUUUCCUUUUCUUUUCAAUAAUUAAUUUGUCAUGUAAUUGGUCAACAAAUUUGCUUCUUGUUUGUCCAGUACACUAAUAUAGAUGCUGUUCAUUAGAAGCAGAAACAGAGCUGUAACAGAGAAGAAAAUAGCUGUAAAAUCAUUUCUUAGGUUUUGAGAUAGGAAUGACGAACCAAAGUUAAAUUGGCAACAUCAUUCAAGUGUCGCCAUUAGCUUGGAUGCAUGUAAAGAUGAUUUUACCCAUAGUUGUUGCAUAAAAACCUUUGUUAUCUUUACUUUUGUUGUCAAAAUUAUUAUUAUAAUUUUUUUAAUGGUAGAAGUAGAACCUAAUCCCUCAUAAUUAUCAUUUAAUAAUAUGUUAAUUACCAAAUACUAUUAUUUUUUAAUUCAUACCUAGUAGUGAUUUAAAUUUGAAAAGCGACAAAACCAGAAACCAAUUUUUAAUAUAUAAUAAACCAGUUUAUAUUUUUUUUCUUAAGGACAAAUGUAAGGAUCCAAUAAAAAAAAAAAAAACCACCAACAUUACAAUGACAGAAUUAGAAAACGAAAAUCACAACAACAUUAUAAUUACAUUCAGUUUCUACGUCUCCUCCUCCUCCUUGUUGCCUUUUGCUGCGUUCCCAACUUCUCCAGAAUCCAUCCAAUAAUUCCUGUGCUGAAGUUGAACCCCAGAACCAAUCCUGCCACAAGUCCGCCUGCAUAGCCAGUCAGAAUGAUUUUCCAAUCAGAUGCGCCUGAAAACAGGGACUCCUCCGAGCCUUCAGUAUGAUCUUCAUUUGUUGGAGCUUCACCACUCUCACAUCCUUUGGACAAAGGCUUUCCACACAAUCCUGAGUUGCCGUCGAAAGAAGUGUUGUCAAAUGUAGCAAAUUGAUUUCCUUGUGGUAUAGGCCCUGUAAGGUAAUUAUCCGAGACAUUGAAGAAUGCAAGAAAUGUGAGCUCAACCAGUUGUUGAGGAAUCCGUCCUGAAAACUUGUUAUUUGAGAGAUCCAAUGAUUCCAAAUUUGUUAGAUUGCCCAAACAUGACGGAAUAUGGCCUUGGAGAUUAUUGUACUGGAUGUUUAGAACUUGAAGUCCCUUUAAAUUCGCAAUCGAUGCUGGAAUCGCCCCAUCAAAUCUAUUGUUUGAGAGAAUAAUGCCCGCGAGGAUAUCCGGAAUCUUGUUAUAUGUAAUCAUUCGCCCUUUGCUGUUCAUUGUCAAUGAGUAGUCAUAAGUGCUAAGUAUAUCAUUGGACAAUUUUCCAGACGGAGAAAGCACAUCUUGCAGAUAUCUUAGCUCACUUGUAUUGACAAUUUUCAUGGCAUUCCAACACAGGAAACUCUUUGAUGGAAGCUUUCCAGAAAAUCUGUUGUCAGAUAGGUCAAUAAUGCGGAGUUUAGAAAAUCCACAACCAGUUCUGGGUUCUUCUAUAACGCCAUAAAAUAUGUUGGAUCGUAGGAUGAGAACAUUCAAUUUUGGAAGAGUUCCUAACCAAGAGGGAAAAGUGUCACUAAUCUGGUUGUUCCCAAGACCAAGAAAUUCCAACUUUGAACAGUUGAUCAAUGAUCUUGGAAUUCUUCCUUGAAACAGAUUAUGGCUUAAAUCAAUCACGCCUAAUCUACUUUCUUUAAUGAAAGUAUUUGGGAUGGUCCCAAAGAAGUUGUUAGCCUGCAAGUCGAGCACUGAAAGUUCAUCGCUGAAAUUGCCUAAACACUGAGGAAGCAAGCCACUUAAGUUAUUGUGAGACAAAACAAGGCUUUCAAGAAUAUUCAAAUUGCAUAUCCACGAUGGAAUUUCCCCUGUUAAGCUACUGUUUGAAGCUAGAUAGUUAGCGGUUCCAGGGGGUGGAACUGGGAGUGGUCCUUGUAAAUUAUUAGAGCUAAGAUCAAAAGUCACCGAAUCACCGUUAUUCCCUGGAAGAAGAACAGGAUGCUGAUCAAACCCGGUUAACAAGUUAUGCGAAAGGUUCAAGGCACUGAGAUUCUGCAUAUUGGGGUCUAACAACCAUUUAGGUACUUUUCCCUGAAUUCUAUUGUCAGAAAGGUCCAGGACCACCAUAUCACGUUGGUUUUCCAAGAAAUUUGGAAAUUUAGUAAGAUUGCAUGAACGCAAUCCUAUAUACUGAAUUUUCUGUGAAGUGGUAUUAGAAGUGGCUUUGGUGAGCACUGACAACCUAUUUAAUGAGAGAGCUAAAACUUCCAAUUUUUUCCAGCUAGUAAGUAAAACAUCUAACUCUAUCGUUCCUCCAUAAGAAUUUUGAGCCAUGUCAAGGACGACAAGUUCGGUAAGAUUCCUAAGUGAAGAUGUAAUUUGACCUGAAAAAUUACACUUAGAAAUAUAUAUUGCUUCCAAUGACCUAAGAUUUCCGAUGGAACCAAGUAAGUCACCCGAAAAAUUAUUAAAUCCAAGAAACAAAAAUUGUAGCCGGGUGAAAUUACUAAUUGCAUGUGGAACUUUGCCCCAAAAACCACAUGACCUCAGAUCUAAUAGCUUCAAAGAACUAAAAUUUCCAGACGACCAUGGAAACUCACCCAAAAAUUUAUUAAAUGAAAGGUCAAGUUUUUCCAAAGAAAAAAGAUUUCGAAUGGAAGUAGGCAACUCACCGAAAAAUCCAUUUUGUGAAAGGUCAAGUUCUUUCAAUGAACCAAGAUUUCCUAUGGAAAUAGGCAACUCACCAAAAAAAUUAUUUUGUGAAAGGUCAAGUUCUUUCAAAGAACUAAGAUUUCCAAUGGAAAUAGGCCACUCACUCGACAAAAAAUUUGCAGAGAGAUCUAGUUCUUUCAAUGAAUGAAGAUUACCAACGGAAACAGGCAGCUCACCCAGUAAUUCAUUUAUUGAAAGGUCCAAAUGAAGGAGUUUCGAUAGAUCACCGAGUGAAGAUGGAAUUCUUCCUGAAAUUUGUAUAAAAAAAAAAAGAACACAUUGCUUAAGUAGAAAAUUAAAAAUAAUAAUAAUUUUUACUAAUGAAUUUAACAUUGCAAUUGGCAAUUUUCGAGUAAAAUAUAUAUAUUUAACAAUAACAUGCAUGUAUAUUAAUUAAGGAGAAAAUAUAUAAAAUUUAAUUACCUUGCAAUUCACAGUUUCGAAGAGAAACAAACGUCAAAGAAGAUAGAUUUCCGAUGUUAUGAGGUAUCGUUGAAUCAAUAGAAACAUCACCAAGGUCAAGUGUUUUUAGAUUACUUAACUUCUCGACUAAAUUUUCGAAACUGGGCUUCUGGAGUUCAAGUCUACCACCAGGAACAUCAUUUAGUGAUAAAUCAAGGGACACCAAGUUGGAAAGCUUUAGAAUUUCCGAUGGUAUUUGACCAGAUAAAGAAGUUCCAGAGAGGUUCAAGUAUGAUAACCUGGAAAGGUUGAUGAUUUCUGGUGGGAUUUCGGAGGAAUUGAAGUCAUUCAAAGCAAGAUUAAGCCACUCGAGAUGGACAAGCUUGAAAAGGCUGCUGCUAGAGUCGAUAGAACCAAAAAGGCAGCUAUGGGAGAGGUCAAGCUUGAUGACAUGACCAGUGUUCUUAUUGCAAUGAACGCCGUCCCAAGAGCAGCAAUCAACGCUACCUUCUUCUGGCUUCCAUGAUGCCAUUGUAGGACGACAGUCAAAUUUCCAAGCAUAAAAAUCACCACUGAUGCGGCUUUCUUUGAAUUGCAACAAAGCAGAACGCUCAUCAUCAUGGCAGAGUGGCAGCAUAGAAGAAGCAGUGACGUUAGCAAUUGUGAAAUUCAAGAAAAAGAAGGGAAAAACUAACCGUAUGAACAUUGUGAAUAAACAUAUGGAGGAUAAACCCAUAGUUUUCUCAAAAAUAAAAUUUGUUUAACUUUGUAGAUGUGAAGAAA